UAGACAGGAGCUUGAAAUAAGCGCUUAGCUGUUAAUUAAGAAGACGGAGACUUAACUCCCUGUUUAG
rnacentral:tRNA from 1 species